GUACGACCCGUUUCUAUGAGUCGCGUUGUUUGAGAAUGCAGCGCAAAGCAGGUGGUAAAUUCCAUCUAAAGCUAAAUAUUGGUGCGAGACCGAUAGCAUACAAGUACCGUGAGGGAAAGAUGAAAAGAACUUUGAAAAUAGAGUUAAAGAGUACCUGAAACUGCUGAAAGGUAACCAAAUCGUUUCCAGNGUCUAUAAUCCGUGGUAUAUUUCAUUGGCGAGCGUAUGCGUGCGUGUGCUGUUGCAGUGGCCUUUUUGGCUGCGCUCGGCGUGUGUGCUGUGUGUGCUUGCCGGUGCCCUGUGCUAUGGUGGGACGUCAAGGUCAGUUCGUAUGCUGCGGNAAAUGGCCACCGAGGAGGUAGGGCUUAC
rnacentral:rRNA from 1 species